rnacentral:rRNA from 1 species
CUAAAUUAAAGUGAAACCGCGAAUGGCUCAUUAAAUCAGUUGUAGUUCAUUGGACCUCCUCAGUUACUUGGAUAACUGUGGUAAUUCUAGAGCUAAUACAUGCUACACGAGUCCCGACCAGAAAUGGAAGGGACGCUUUUAUUAGAUCAAAACCAAUCGGUCGGUGUCAACCUUGUGUUGUCCCGGCCGUUGAAUUUUGAUGACUCUGGAUAACUUUGAGCUGAUCGCACGGUCUUAGCACCGGUGACGAUGCCUUCAAAUGACUGCCUUAUCAACUGACGAUGGUAGGCUCUGUGUCUACCAUGGUUGUAACGGGUAACGGGGAAUCAGGGUUCGAUUCCGGAGAGGGAGCCUGAGAAACGGCUACCACAUCCAAGGAAGGCAGCAGGCGCGCAAAUUACCCACUCCCGGCACGGGGAGGUAGUGACGAAAAAUAACGAUACGGGACUCAUCCGAGGCCCCGUAAUCGGAAUGAGAACACUUUAAACAUUUUAACGAGUACCAAUUGAAGGGUAAGUCUGGUGCCAGCAGCCGCGGUAAUUCCAGCUUCAAUAGCGUAUAUUAAAGUUGCUGCGGUUAAAAAGCUCGUAGUUGGAUAUGUGUCCCGCGCUGCCGGUUCACCGCUCGUCGGUGUCUAACUGGCACGCAUGCGGGACGUCCUGCCGGUGGUGGCGAGCCGACCUCAUGCGCGUUAGUCAGCAUCCGGACCCCGGUGUCGUGUGCGAGCAAUCAAGCACGGCCCCGGACCGGAUUGCGGCAGCGUUAGCAUUUCGUCGGUAGACCCCGUUUAACCUGCCGCGGUGCUCUUCACUGAGUGUCGCGGGGGCCGGCACGUUUACUUUGAACAAAUUAGAGUGCUUAAAGCAGGCCCUUGACCGCCUGAAUAUUGUGUGCAUGGAAUAAUAGAAUAGGAUCUCGGUUCUAUUUUGUUGGUUUCCGGAGCCCGAGAUAAUGAUUAAUAGAGAUUGCCGGGGGCAUCCGUAUUGCGACGUUAGAGGUGAAAUUCUUGGAUCGUCGCAAGACGAACUGCAGCGAAAGCGUUUGCCAAGUAUGUUUUCUUUAAUCAAGAACGAAAGUUAGAGGUUCGAAGGCGAUCAGAUACCGCCCUAGUUCUAACCAUAAACAAUGCCAUCUAGCGAUUCGCUGUGUGUCUUACAUGUCAUGGCGAGCAGCAUCCCGGGAAACCUAAGAUUCUGGGUUCCGGGGGAAGUAUGGUUGCAAAGCUGAAACUUAAAGGAAUUGACGGAAGGGCACCACCAGUAGUGGAGCCUGCGGCUUAAUUUGACUCAACACGGGAAAACUUACCAGGCCCAGACACUGGAAGGAUUGACAGAUUGAGAGCUCUUUCUUGAUUCGGUGGGUGGUGGUGCAUGGCCGUUCUUAGUUCGUGAAGCGAUUUGUCUGGUUAAUUCCGAUAACGAACGAGACCCUAGCCUACUAACUAGUCGAUUACCGGAAUCCUUCGCGCAUCCGGCGAGAUCCCAUCUUCUUAGAGGGACAGGCAGCUUCUAGUUGCACGAGAUUGAGCAAUAACAGGUCUGAGAUGCCCUUAGAUGUUCUGGGCCGCACGCGCGCUACACUGGAGGGAUCAGCGUGUGUUUUCCUAGCCCGAGAGGGCCGGGUAACCCGUUGAAAUCCCUUCGUGAUCGGGAUUGGGGCUUGCAAUUGCUCCCCAUGAACGAGGAAUUUCUAGUAAACGCGUGUCAUAAGCUCGUGUUGAUUAUGUCCCUGCCCUUUGUCCACACCGCCCGUCGCUACUUCCGAUUGAAUGAUUUAGUGAGGUCUUCGGACCAGUUCGCAACUUUCUCGUAUUACUGCGGGAAUGCUGA